rnacentral:lncRNA from 1 species
CUUGGAAAAAUUCUGCUUUGGCCCUCCUUCUUUGCUUCUUUCUUCAAUCUAGCCCAAUUGUUUCCUUUUUCUUCUAUUUAGCCCCAAAUUGCACCCCUGCACAAAAUUCAACAAAAACAUGGAAAAAUUAGUGAUGCACUCUCAUAAAUUAACCAAUUUAAUUACAUAAAAUACGUAACUUUGGCAUUUAAUCACUCUUCCUACUCCAUUCUCUGUCAAUUUCUUUUGUUUUGCCUUUCGUCUUCUUCUUUUUACUUUUGUGUUGAAUACCAACUCUGUAGUUCCGUCCCUCCUAUAUCGUUCGUGUGAUAUCGGUAAGUUGGUGAGUAUCAGCCUUAUUAUUUUAAACGUUUUCUGGUUAAAUGGUUAAACAAGGGUUUUGCGUUUGGUGCUAGAAACUAAUCAAUGGGUUGUUGAUCGUCCAUCGAUGUUCUAGGCGUGUGGAAUUUCUGUGCUUGUUCGAGGGUAAGGUUUUUGACGGCUAUUUGUUGAAUAACUCGUGGUAAUCUCAUUUAAGGUCUAUUAGUAUCACUAAAUCGAGCUUUGGUUUAUCGAUUUUAGGUUCUGUAGUACUCAUGGUAGAGUUAGUAGUGAAAUCGUAUUAGGUGUGUAAACACAACUUUGAAAACAGAAAUCGGUGAAAUGCCAAAGAAUGUGAUUGCCGACGCCACACGGGCGUGCAGUCGCCCAUGUAGUAUGGCGUGUGGUCGUCGAGGUUGGCCAUGUGCGAUUCAUGGGCUAGGCCAAAUUAGGCCGUAUGGGCCGUACUGGCACGUGGGUCCCACACGGUUAACCACACAAGCGUGUGGGAAUAUUGGGCCAGACUAUGUGAACCACACGGCCAAGGCCAUUUUGGGCCGUGUGAGCCACACGAGUGUGUGGGCCUACAUGGGUUUGCACCAUGGGCCUGUGGGCUUAUUUUCACUGUUUGACUGCUAAGGUUGCACGUGUCUCCUAAGUCGACUGUGAACCUACUGUAGGAUCGGUAAGUUUACCUAGACCUCUAAUUAACUGAAAUAAUUGAAAAUACUAUUAUAUGCCUAUAUGAGAUAGAUAUGUAUGUCUGUAUGAUGAGCAUGCUAAAUACCCUAUACUUAUUAUACAUGAUAUCAUGACAUGUCUUUAUGAUGCAUUGUAUUGGGUGGGGAUUGAUAUUGAUUGGAUGAAAUGUACUGAAAGGCUUCAAACCUAACUUACUGGCAACUCAACUGUAACUACUGUCUAGUGCUGCAUUCGGUACUAUUUGGAGUGUAGGGAUGGGUGGGUUGAUUAUAUCCCCACAUGGAGUGUAGGGUUGGACGGAGAUGGAGUGUAGAGACUGGUUAGGUAGGAUUUUAUAAUUGCAUAACUGUCACUGUUACUGUACUGUGAUGGGCUAAGGCCCUAAUGCUUACUGAUACUGAAAAGGGUUUAGGCCCAAACUGAGAUUAUCUGUUAUUGUUUGUUUGUUUGCAUGGGGAUUACACACUAAGUUCACGUAAACUCACCCCUUCUGUUUAAUCUGUACAGGUAAUCCCUAGACAUAGGCAGAUUGAUGUGGCGGAAGACUCAGUGGUGGCCACACGACUCCUUUUUGCUAUUUGAUACUUAUUUACGAUUUUUAUUUUUAUUUUUGGGUAUUUUUUUGUAAUAAUGGUCUCUCUGGAUUUUUACCUAAAAUUUCGAUUUUAUACUGUUUUCUGUUUAUAUCUGCUAGAAAUAGGAGAAACUCAAGUUUUCAAAAGAGAUGAAUAUUUUAUCAAAAUACCAUGUACACACAAAUUAUUUUUAAAAAGCUUCCGCAAAGUAUAGCGUUUUAGAAAUGAAUCACGAUUCGAGAAUUAAUGAAAGAUAAUGAUAAGUUUUAAACAGAAAAUAGUUUUAGCAAUGAUACGGUUUUCAAACGCAUUUCCAUGUGACAUCGCCAGAUUCGGCCAUAACGGCCAAGCCGAAUUUGGGGUGUUACAAAGAGACCAUGCUAUUUUGAACCAUUUCGAAUAUAUAUCUAAUACUUUAAGUACACCUAAAUCACAUACUUAAAACUUUCGUACACAUAUCCAAUCCCUUAACCACAUAUUCGAUCAUCACAAUUAAUCCUCCAAAAAUAAAUCAUGUCAAUUUCAUCAUGAACUAUACCUAAAAAUUCAUUUUUUUCCAAACCUAUAUAAUAUAUGCAUGCUCAUCCAUUACAUAUCUAUCAUUACUAUAUUACUAAGCUAAAUUAUACAAUUAACCACCAUUCAAAAAUUCUUUUCACAUCUCAUACAUAUAUAUAUACCAAUAACCUACUUUCUUAAUUAAGUUCAUAUUCUAGCCAUAAUGCACAAGCUUAAACAUUAUAACAAAUCUAUAUAAUCAAAUACCACACAUAUAUAAAUACCAUGAAAUAUAUUUUCAUAAUAUACUAAUACCAUAACCGAACACAUAAGUAUUAAUAUCAAGAUUAAGCCAUUUUUGCAUGGCUAAUUAUAUAUACACACUUUAUGAAUAAACAAGACAAUACUAGCCUAUACAUGUCAUAUGUUCAAAAUUUCAAAUUUUCAAAAUACCGAGAUAGAGAUCGAUAGUGUGAUAGACUUCCUUGAUGACUCCCGAACUCAUAACAAGAUUCCAAAAUCUAUAAAACAAUAAAUGAACAAGCACACAAUAAGCUUAAAUAGCUUAGUAAGUUGUAAGCACAUAAUUUUCAAACAACUCAUAAAAUUACACCAGUAGGCCAAGUUUUACUAUUCAUGUACACAUACAUAUAAAAUCAUUUUUAUACGAUUAAUUCAUCUUUUCAUGUUAUAUAUAUACUACCUACCUUUACUUUCAAUUUCGUAUAACUUAACAUACCUGAAUUAUUUAACUCAAACUCACAUUCGGUUUUACCAUAGGAUUUCCCCUUAUAUCUUUUGGAUUCAGAGAUAUGAUACUCGAUCGGCUCAAAAAGCUCGUACAAUGCCAACGUCCCAGACGUGGUCUUACAUGUAAUCUAACAACGAUGCCACUAUCCCAGACAGGGUCUUACACGUAAUCAUAUACGACACCAAUAUCCCAGACAUGGUCUUACACGUAAAUCUCAAAUCGAGGCCAAAGUCCCAAACGUGGUCUUACACGAUGUCACAUUUCAGCAUUUCUGUAGUUCUAUAUAACUUUCGGAUGUCGUAAAUCAACCAAUUAAAACUCAUUAUUAAUCAUCAUUUGUCAAAUACAAUUUGGCAUAAUAGGGUACACAUACACAUUUAGAUUCGGCUAUACAUAAAAUAAAUACAGUAAAUUUAACUUCAAUAAUUUACUUACGAACUUACCUCGGAUGAAGACGAACUGACCGAGACGAUUAUUCGAUAACUUUUGAUUUCCCCCGAUCCAAAUCCGAUUUCUUCUUUUCUUGAUAUGAUUUUAAUACAAAUUUGACUUGUUUAAUAACAUAUUCACUAAAAUUCAUUCAAAAAUACAUAAUUUGGGUAUUUUGCAUUUUAGCCCCUAACAUUUCAUAUUUUCUCAAUUUAGUCUCUAUUUCACAAAACAUAAAAUACACAAAAUUCAUCAACACCAUGCCUUAGCCGAAUCUUAGUAUGGUCCAUAGCAAUCCAUAUAUUUCUUUUAUUUCACAUUCAAACCCCUAAAUUUUCAAAUUUCAAAAACAAAUCUCUAAUUUGGAUUUUUAUCAAAAAUUACUUAAUUAAACAUGAUAAUCAAACAUCAAAGAUUUAUUUGUCAUCAUCAAACAACAAUUUCAUCACAUUAUCAACAAUGGCACUUCUCAAAAUCAUCAUUAAUUCCAAAAAUUAAAACAUGGGCUAGGUAAUACACAAAGCAACGAUCUCAAAAACGUAAAAAUUAUCAAAAAUUAAACAAAGAACAUACCUAAUUUGCAUGGCCAUAUUAUGUUUUUUUUAAUUUAAUUACAAGUUAUUUACUAUUUACUAUUUACUAUUUUAACCUUACUAAAAAUCAUAAUAUAAGUCACCUAACUCAUGGACAUAAAUGUUCAUUAAGCUUAUAAUGGUAUAAUAACCCUUUAAGGACUUCUCAUGUAACACCCCCUAACCCCAAACCAUCGCCGAAACAGGGUUAUGGAGCAUUACCAGACAUAUCGGAUAACUUAUAACUAAUUCACAAAUAAAUAACAAACAUGGCAUACUUUAAUCAUUUUCAUUUCAUAUUUGUAUAAAUUAUGUCAUUUUAGUUCCAUUUCAUACUGAUAACAAUUUUAAACAUCAUUCUACAACCGUAAUAACAAAACUCUUAUACUUAACCUAUACAUCACCUAGGUACAUGCCACAUUAUCAAAACAAAGGUACAUCACUAAAAUUUCUCUGAGGUCGAGAUUGCUCUGGAUGUUGGACCGGACAUUGGCUUUCUACUAACCUGUGCACGGAAACAACCGUACGUUGAGUAUAGGUAUACUCAGUGGUAUUACCAUAAUUCAAAUUAAUAACAUUAAUCGAUAAAUUAUAUACAUUUAAUUUAUGUCUACAAUUAUUCAUUAAUUAUCUCAUACUUUAAAUCAACUUGAUAAUUAAUAACAAUAAGCAAUAUUUCAAAUCUUGUAUUUAAUUGUACUCGUACCUUAUUUCACUAUCUUAAUUCCAUUGGAUUUUUCACAUCUUAUUCCAAUAGUUCAUUUCAAUUCAUAUAGAAUUCAUUCAAUUUAUCACUAUAUUCAAUAUCAAUUCUAUUGCAAUUCUUACUCACUAAUAUCAUCUAACAAAAAUUUAUUCUUAAUCACAUCAUGAACUUUGGGUUCAUAUCUUCAAAUCUCAUAUCUCGAUUUCCAAUUCACAUAUCAAUUCACAAUUUCACUUUCUCAUUUCUUUCCAUAGCUCAAUCAAUCACACUUAUUCAAAUUUUCUCAUUUCAAUUAUUUACCCCUAUUAACAAGACUCGGACCUUGGCGGAUACACGGAUUCAACUAAACACACCAGAAUGGCACUCAGUGCCUCAUCGGAUUGUUCAAAGCAAUAAAGUGACACCUAGUGUCUCAUCGGCAGAGUCGAAGAAAGUUGGUACCCAGUACCUCAUCGAAACUAUUCGAAGAAAUAUAGUGACACCCAGUGUCUCAUCGACUCAAGGUCGAAGAAUCCCUGAACUCUUCCAAUCUUAUGGCAUACCAACUAUAUCCGAUUCAGCCCGACUAGUUAAUAGGGUAUUCAGAUCAUUUUUUUUCUAUUUCAAAUUCACUUUCGAUUCAAUCACAAUUCAUUUCAAAUUCACUUUUCACUUUCUAAUCAAUAUACAAUUCAAUACCAACACAUUUUUCCACUUUCCAAUCAAUGUACCAUCAAAUGCUCAUAUAUAUUCAUACUUCAUUUCAAUUUCAUUCAAUUCACAAUUUCUCAUGUUCACAAUUCAAAUCAAUUUCUCAAUCCAAUAUGCAUUUCAAUAUCACAUUAAUUCUUUUAAUUCAAAUCAUAUCACUAGUAAUUUCCCUUCAAUUCACAUACAAUUCAAUAUCAUUUAAUUCAAUAUCGAUAUUCACCUUAUUUUUAUUUACUAAACAUAUUAUUCAAAAUUUAACAAUUGCUAUUAAUAAAUUCAAUACCAAUACGUAUUUAUCAUUCAAUUCAAUCGUGAUACUUACCUCAAUUUGCUUAUCAUGUAUAUUAAUUUAAAUUUUAACAAUUAAUAAUUAAAUUUGAAUUAUGGUAAUACUAACCGAAAUUUCUCUCGAGUCACUCCUUGUUCACCUUCUCCUUUCCUUUCUCAGACAAUGACUCUUGCACGACAUUAGCUACAUAAUUAAAAAAUUAAAAUCAUUAAUACACAAUUUCAUUAAAAUAUUUCCAUUUAUACCUAAAAUUUACCUAAAUUCUAAUUUAAUCUCUUCUCAAUACUAAUUUUAUUUUCCCAAUCUAACUCCAUAUUCUCUCUUAAUUAUUACUAUAAACUCAUUUUAACUCUUCAUUUUCACCAUAAAUCCCUAAUUUCAAAAUUCUCUCAAUUUAAUCCCUAUUAAUUCAAAACUUAUGUUUUAUUUUACAAAUUAACAUUUUACUAACUUUUAACUUGAAAUUCAAUCAAUUUAAUCCCUAAUUCAUCAAUUAAUUCAACAUGAAUAACAUCUAAAAAUUUACUAACUUUCAAAAUUUCAACUUAAAUCAAGUAGUAUUUUGUUUUAGGAUUCUAAAAAUAUCAAAAUUACAAGAAAAGGGGCUAAAUUAACUUACCAAUUGAGCUUGGAACUUCAAAACCCCAAUUCUCCUUUUUUUUUUCUUUUCUUUCUCCUUUCUCCUUCUCUGUUUC